GAUGAAGAACGCAGCGAAAUGUGAUACUUGGUGUGAAUUGCAGAAUCCCGUGAACCAUCGAGUCUUUGAACGCAAGUUGCGCCCGAAGCCACUAGGCCGAGGGCACGCCUGCCUGGGCGUCACACGCCGUUGCCCCCCCAUCUACUCCUUCGGGAUUGCGGGGGGGCGGAUGAUGGCCUCCUGUGCGCCUAGCCGCGCGGUUGGCAUAAAUACCAAGUCCUCGGCGACGCACGCCACGACAAUCGGUGGUUGCGAAACCUCGGUUGCCCGUCGUGUGCGUUCGUCGCGCAUCGAGGGCUCGAAAAAAUGCUCGGCUCCGGCUGGGCUUUCAACGCGACCCCAGGUCAGGCGGGGUUACCCGCUGAAUUUAAGCAUAUCAAUAAGCGGAGGA
rnacentral:misc_RNA from 1 species